rnacentral:rRNA from 1 species
AGAGUUUGAUCCUGGCUCAGAACGAACGCUGAUGGCGUGCCUCAUACAUGCAAGUCGAGCGCGUAGCAAUACGAGCGGCGAACGGGUGAGUAACGCGUGAACAAUCUGCCUUAAAGUGGGGGAUAACCAUUCCAACGGAUGGCUAAUACCGCAUAGGGUUUGGGGGUGGCAUCACUCCUUCACGAAAGCACUUAUGCGCUUUAAGAUGAGUUCGCGUCCCAUUAGCUAGUUGGCGGGGUAACGGCCCACCAAGGCAACGAUGGGUAGCCGGCCUGAGAGGGUGUCCGGCCACAUUGGGACUGAGAUACGGCCCAGACUCCUACGGGAGGCAGCAGUAGGGAAUUCUGCGCAAUGGGGGAAACCCUGACGCAGCAACGCCAUGUGUGGGAUGAAGCAUUUCGGUGUGUAAACCACUGUCGGCAGGGAAUAAAGUCCGCGCUUGCGCGGAGGUGAAUGUACCUGCAAAGGAAGCCCCGGCUAACUUCGUGCCAGCAGCCGCGGUAAUACGAGGGGGGCAAGUGCUGUUCGGAAUUACUGGGCGUAAAGGGAGCGUAGGCGGAUGUUUAAGUCGGAUGUUUAAAACCGGGGCCCAACCCCGGAGCGGCAUCCGAAACUGGGCAUCUUGAAUAGGUCAGAGGCUAGUGGAAUUGGAGGUGUAGCGGUGGAAUGCGUAGAGAUCUCCAAGAACACCCAUUGCGAAGGCAGCUAGCUGGGACCAUAUUGACGCUGAGGCUCGAAAGCAUGGGGAGCAAACAGGAUUAGAUACCCUGGUAGUCCAUGCCGUAAACGAUGAACACUAGGUUUUGGGCUCGUCAACGGUCCAGAGCCGCAGCUAACGCGUUAAGUGUUCCGCCUGGGGAAUACGGUCGCAAGACUGAAACUCAAAGGAAUUGACGGGGGCCCGCACAAGCGGUGGAGCAUGUGGUUUAAUUCGACGCAACGCGCAGAACCUUACCAGGACUUGACAUGGAAGUGACCGGACGAGAGAUCGUUCUUCUCCCGCAAGGGAGCACUUCACACAGGUGCUGCAUGGCUGUCGUCAGCUCGUGUCGUGAGAUGUUGGGUUAAGUCCCGCAACGAGCGCAACCCUCGUUUCUAGUUGCCAUCAUUCAGUUGGGCACUCUAGAGAGACUGCAAAAA